UACGAAGGGGGCUAGCGUUGUUCGGAAUCACUGGGCGUAAAGGGCGCGUAGGCGGCUUUAUAAGUCGGGGGUGAAAGCCUGUGGCUCAUCCACAGAAUUGCCUUCGAUACUGUAGAGCUUGAGACCGGAAGAGGUCAGUGGAACUGCGAGUGUAGAGGUGAAAUUCGUAGAUAUUCGCAAGAACACCAGUGGCGAAGGCGGCUGACUGGUCCGGUUCUGACGCUGAGGCGCGAAAGCGUGGGGAGCAAACAGG
rnacentral:rRNA from 1 species